AUUGAACGCUGGCGGCAUGCCUUACACAUGCAAGUCGAACGGUAACGCGGGGCAACCUGGCGACGAGUGGCGAACGGGUGAGUAAUGUAUCGGAACGUGCCCAGUUGUGGGGGAUAACUGCUCGAAAGAGCAGCUAAUACCGCAUACGACCUGAGGGUGAAAGCGGGGGAUCGCAAGACCUCGCGCAAUUGGAGCGGCCGAUUUCAGAUUAGGUAGUUGGUGGGGUAAAGGCCUACCAAGCCUACGAUCUGUAGCUGGUCUGAGAGGACGACCGGCCACACUGGGACUGAGACACGGCCCAGACUCCUACGGGAGGCAUCAGUGGGGAAUUUUGGACAAUGGGGGAAACCCUGAUCCAGCCAUGCCGCGUGCGGGAAGAAGGCCUUCGGGUUGUAAACCGCUUUUGUCAGGGAAGAAAUCCUUUGAACUAAUACUUCGGAGGGAUGACGGUACCUGAAGAAUAAGCACCGGCUAACUACGUGCCAGCCGCCGCUGUAA
rnacentral:rRNA from 1 species